rnacentral:rRNA from 1 species
UACAGAGGUCCCAAGCGUUGUUCGGAUUCACUGGGCGUAAAGGGUGCGUAGGUGGCUUGGUAAGUUUGAUGUGAAAUCUCCGGGCUUAACCCGGAAAUGGCAUUGAAUACUAUUGAGCUGGAGGUUUGGAGGGGGGACUGGAAUUCUCGGUAUAGCAGUGAAAUGCGUAGAUAUCGAGAGGAACACCAGUGGCGAAGGCGAGUCCCUGGACAACACCUGACACUGAGGCACGAAAGCUAGGGGAGCAAACAGG